AAAUCUUUUGUAACAUUAUAAAUACAUUUACUGUCACUUUUGAUCACUUUAAGGCAUCCUUGAUUAAUAAAAAUACUAAUGUCUGACCCUAAACGUUUGAAUAGCAAUCUAUUGUGGUUUCCACAGAAAUGUUUUCAACAUUGAUAAUAAUCAAAUCAUCAUAUUAGAAUGAUUUCUGAAGAUCAUGUGACACUGAAGACUGGAGUAAUGAUGCUGAAAAUACAGCUGCGCAUCACAGAAAUAAAAUACACUUUAACAGAGAUUCACAGAGAAAACAGUUAUUUUACAUUCUAAUAAUAUUUCACUGUUUUUACUGUAUUUUGAUCAAAUAAACACAGCUCUGGUGAGCAAAACAGACUUUAAAAUGUUUACCGCUCUCAAACUUUUGAAUGUUAGUGUAUGUUUACCGUUUGAACAGCAGGUGUGAUGAUGUGUGUCUCUGUCUGCAGGUGUCGGCUCCUCUCGCUCCUCUCCGUGGUCUGUCCGAGGCUCCUGUCGCUCCUCUCAGAGGAUCUCUGGGUGCCUCGUGUGGACUCCAGCCGCUCAGAACCUCUCUCGGGGCUGGUGUGUCGAGCUCUGCUGCUUCCAGGAGCGUUCAGGAGGAGAGGAGCGCUGAAGAGGACGAGGAGAUCUCCGAGGAAGAGAGGCCGCGGGAUUCAGCCGGACUGCUGCAGAACCUCCAUCUGGAUCUGGACGCUCUGGGAGCAGGACUGCAGUACGAGGUGAACACAAACACAGCACAUGAAUGCACAUCAGUCGGACUCUCCUCCGUGUGACUGGAGGAAUAGCACUGCAGCGCUGUCAGAGUGGCUGAAAAACUACAUUCGAAUUUUGUACUUAAAUAUAAUCAAUAUCUGAUUUAUAUUUGAAUUUAAAAUGCAUGAUUUCAGUUUGGGGGAAAAAAGCUUUUGGCUUCUCUCUUGAGGCCACAAGAGGGCGCAUCGAGCAAAAUAUUACUAAUGCACGUUUAUUCCGUAAUAAAGGCUAUCUUUGAAAAAAGUGCA
ensembl:lncRNA